rnacentral:rRNA from 1 species
UACGGAGACUGCAAGCGUUACUCGGAAUUACUGGGCGUAAAGGGUGCGCAGGCGGCUAGGUAUGUCAGAUGUGAAAAUGCGGGGCUUAACCUUGUAGCGCGUUUGAAACUACUUGGCUAGAGUUUUGGAGAGGUAAGUGGAAUUUCUGGUGUAGCGGUGGAAUGCGUAGAUAUCAGAAAGAACACCAAUGGCGAAGGCAGCUUACUGGACAAAUACUGACGCUCAUGCACGAAAGCGUGGGGAACAAAAA